GUGAGUGGGUUCUUUCCAGUUGUCGGACUAUAAUUCCUAUCUAGGUCACAGGAUGGCAAAAUGGCUUUACCGGACAUGCCUAGCUUCCUCCUGACCUUAGACUUCAAUGAGACCAUCAUGGACAAGAACAGAGACAAUUCAAUCCUGCGUGUUGCACCAGGCUAGCAACUGCCCAAGAGCCUACAUACCACUUAUCACAAGGGUUACUACAAUGAGUACAUGCAACAAGUCCUCAAGUUCCUUGGUGAGCAGGGUGUAGGGCCCAGGGACCUUCGUGCUGUCUAC
rnacentral:lncRNA from 1 species